rnacentral:rRNA from 1 species
GACGAACGCUGGCGGCGUGCUUAACACAUGCAAGUCGAACGGAAAGGCCCUGCUUUUGUGGGGUGCUCGAGUGGCGAACGGGUGAGUAACACGUGAGUAACCUGCCCUUGACUUUGGGAUAACUUCAGGAAACUGGGGCUAAUACCGGAUAGGAGCUCCUGCUGCAUGGUGGGGGUUGGAAAGUUUCGGCGGUUGGGGAUGGACUCGCGGCUUAUCAGCUUGUUGGUGGGGUAGUGGCUUACCAAGGCUUUGACGGGUAGCCGGCCUGAGAGGGUGACCGGCCACAUUGGGACUGAGAUACGGCCCAGACUCCUACGGGAGGCAGCAGUGGGGAAUAUUGCACAAUGGGCGGAAGCCUGAUGCAGCAACGCCGCGUGCGGGAUGACGGCCUUCGGGUUGUAAACCGCUUUCGCCUGUGACGAAGCGUGAGUGACGGUAAUGGGUAAAGAAGCACCGGCUAACUACGUGCCAGCAGCCGCGGUGAUACGUAGGGUGCGAGCGUUGUCCGGAUUUAUUGGGCGUAAAGGGCUCGUAGGUGGUUGAUCGCGUCGGAAGUGUAAUCUUGGGGCUUAACCCUGAGCGUGCUUUCGAUACGGGUUGACUUGAGGAAGGUAGGGGAGAAUGGAAUUCCUGGUGGAGCGGUGGAAUGCGCAGAUAUCAGGAGGAACACCAGUGGCGAAGGCGGUUCUCUGGGCCUUUCCUGACGCUGAGGAGCGAAAGCGUGGGGAGCGAACAGGCUUAGAUACCCUGGUAGUCCACGCUGUAAACGGUGGGUACUAGGUGUGGGGUCCAUUCCACGGGUUCCGUGCCGUAGCUAACGCUUUAAGUACCCCGCCUGGGGAGUACGGCCGCAAGGCUAAAACUCAAAGGAAUUGACGGGGCCCCGCACAAGCGGCGGAGCAUGCGGAUUAAUUCGAUGCAACGCGUAGAACCUUACCUGGGUUUGACAUGGAUCGGGAGUGCUCAGAGAUGGGUGUGCCUCUUUUGGGGUCGGUUCACAGGUGGUGCAUGGCUGUCGUAAGCUCGUGUCGUGAGAUGUUGGGUUAAGUCCCGCAACGAGCGCAACCCUUGUUCACUGUUGCCAGCACGUUAUGGUGGGGACUCAGUGGAGACCGCCGGGGUCAACUCGGAGGAAGGUGGGGAUGACGUCAAGUCAUCAUGCCCCUUAUGUCCAGGGCUUCACGCAUGCUACAAUGGCUGGUACAGAGAGUGGCGAGCCUGUGAGGGUGAGCGAAUCUCGGAAAGCCGGUCUCAGUUCGGAUUGGGGUCUGCAACUCGACCUCAUGAAGUCGGAGUCGCUAGUAAUCGCAGAUCAGCAACGCUGCGGUGAAUACGUUCCCGGGGCU